rnacentral:rRNA from 1 species
CCGACGGUGAGAGGCGAAAGCUGGGGGAGCAAACCGGAUUAGAUACCCGGGUAGUUCCAGCUGUAAACGAUGCUCGCUAGGUGUCUGGGAUGGUGCGACCGUUUCAGGUGCCGCAGGGAAGCCGUGAAGCGAGCCACCUGGGAAGUACGGCCGCAAGGCUGAAACUUAAAGGAAUUGGCGGGGGAGCACUACAACGGGUGGAGCCUGCGGUUUAAUUGGACUCAACGCCGGAAAACUCACCUGGGGC